rnacentral:rRNA from 1 species
UGCCAGCAGCCGCGGUAAUACGAAGGGGGCUAGCGUUGUUCGGAUUUACUGGGCGUAAAGCGUGCGUAGGCGGCUUUUUAAGUCGGAUGUGAAAUCCCUGAGCUUAACUUAGGAAUUGCAUUCGAUACUGGGAAGCUAGAGUAUGGGAGAGGAUGGUAGAAUUCCAGGUGUAGCGGUGAAAUGCGUAGAGAUCUGAGGAAUACCGAUGGCGAAGGCAGCCAUCUGGCCUAAUACUGACGCUGAGGUACGAAAGCAUGGGGAGCAAACAGGAUUAGAUA